UGGACCAGGAGAAGGUGCUAAGACUGCAC
rnacentral:piRNA from 1 species